rnacentral:tRNA from 1 species
AAAAUCCGUCGAAUUGGAAAAUCGUGAGGGUUCAAGUCCCUCUAUCCCCA